rnacentral:lncRNA from 1 species
GUCAGAUUUUCCACAGCUCAGUUACGAUCCACACAGCUCCACAACAACACACAGGACCAGCCGAGCUCCCCUCUGUCGCUGCACUGCAGUAGGAUGGCCUGGGUUUGCUUGUCCAAAUGGCUGCUCCUCCUGAGUGUGUGCUGCCUUGGAUUGAGUGCGCUUCACUUGGUAGACAGUGACUGGGAGUGGGGCUCAGGCCUGGAGGAGCUUCUGCAGAGCUUCCCAGCGGACAGCCCCUUCAUCACAGAGAAACCUGGACAUCCUGCCAACUGCACACAGCGCUUCUGGCUGCCCUCGUCCACUCCUGUGUGCUGGGAUAACAUAGUGGGUCCUGAGGAGUUUGAGCAGACCCGGCUGCUGGUUCUGCAGAACCGUGCGGCUCUGCAGGCCGUUUCCCAGGCCAGCGGCCUAGAGGAGGGGGGAGCCUCCUAUGAUCAGCAGGCCAGGGAGUUCAUCAGAGGGGUCCUGGAUGACCACAGCAACAUUGAGCAGACAGUAGACUCCAUGCAGGAGGUCUUCAACAGCCUGGACAAGAAAAGGAAGGAGGGUGGACAACACUACACCUUCUCCAGGUCUUGAAGCUUACCAGAACUAAGUAAACUUCUAAAGAAACUGUUUUGGAGCCCACCCGCACGGCUGAAUUCCAUGAGAAUGAUGUAACAUGUGGAAAAGACACGUCAGCUCUUGUCCCUCUGCAUGAUUAAGAGUGUUGUUAAAAAGGGAGUACUUUAUUACACACACAUCUUACAUCUCCAGUGUUCACUACACCAAUGCAUAUUGUGUCUUUAGCUUCUUAAGUGCAGAAAGCACAGCUUAUUAAUUUAUUCAGUAAAAGGCAAUCCAAACUUUUGUUAAGUUUUGUCAUGUACUGAUCUGCAGUUUUAAUCAAACACUGCUACAAUUUCUGAUUUCUGAAAAUAAAAGAUAUUUUCUUUUUCUGUUCA